GUCGUUGUAUUAUAGUGGUGAAUAUUUCUGCUUGUCACGCAGGGGACCCGGGUUCAAUCCCCGGCAACAGCG